CCAGCGGAAAAUGUAGUACCCGAUUCAAACCCACGUGUGACAUCAAUUUCUAUAAGGGUCUCUUCUCGACCCCAAAAGGUUUCAGUUUCAGGUUCUCCAAAAUUGCUAGCCGACGAUCUACCGACAUGGACUGUACCAUAUCCGACUUGAGGAUUGCGUAUUGCGCCUAAACCCUCCUUGGGGGUCUCUUCAGUACAAGUUUGGUUCACAUUGGC
rnacentral:lncRNA from 1 species